AAAACGUUUUGCUUUCAACUCAACUACAUUUCGGGUCGAUCGGCUGUUCAAAUCGAAUGUGUCAACACUUAAAAUUAGAUUAUACCAUAUUUGCACUGACUGAUUUUCAGCCUGUAAUCGCGAUCAUAUUUGGGCGCUGUGAGCACAUGAGCAAUAUUUAAUUUUGGACUGGAAUCGCUACCGUUGGCAGUUUCGCCAGUUGCCAGUAGCCAUUUGCCAGUUGGCAAAAAGCAUUUGGCCAGGCAGACAGGCAGCAGGCGAGAGACGGGCGGUGCUAGGCGGCAAGCACGGUGCAGUCGAGCGAGCGGCUACCGGAUUGGCUCGGCCCCAGCUUAGCUGAGAGAUCUAAAGAUCUGAGAUCUGCGAUCUGAGAGCUGGCAACGGCAACGCUUUUGAGUGACUUUGGUACCAAUCUGUCCAUCAUCAUUACCAUCAAGUGUAACAUUUGUGACGACAGGCAGGCAAGCAGGGGACAGAAAACCAGACAGAUGGAUAGACGGACACAGAUGCCUGCCGGCCGCCGCCACCGCGUGGAGGCGCUGCUUCAGGUGCUGCUCCUCUUGGUGCCUUGAUCUGAAACUGAAGCUGCUACAGCGUGCUGUGAAUGCCAGUGCAAUUACUUUGUAAUUUAAGUUAUUGAUUGCCACGCUGCACAAGCUGCCAACUGACAUAGUCUCCAGCUCCAGCUUCAGCUUCAGCCCAACUCCAUCUCUGUCUCCAUUUACGUCUCUGUGGGCUGUUUAGGAUCAGAUCUCAGGGUUAGUAUCUUAGAUAAUCUCAACGCCGCACCGUUACAAUAGCACCCAACGCUUUAUAUGCCCUUUAUCGAAAGAAAUGGGUCGCCCAGAGUAUAUUGGCUAUUCAAGUCAAUUGGGCCUAUGAAAAUUUUAAAGCUAUAGCUUUUGCAAGUCUAAUGUUGAUCAUUUUCAUUAAUCCAAUAAUCAAAAAUCCAAGCUGUAUUCUAAUUUAUUAAAAGCAUUGAUAAUAAACAAAUUAAAAUUACGAUCUAUUCAGAUAAUAAAAUAAGACUAAUGCCAUUUUAA